CCACUGAGAAAAAUCGUAUUUAAACACACGUAAAAAAUACGAUAUUUCUACGUGUGAAAAUAUCAUUUGUUGUAAAACGUAUUGCCACGGACGUUUUUUUGUUUUUCACUUAAUUUUUUUUAUAUAAUAAACAGAAAAAUACAUGGGUGCUUGGAAAUACCAGAUUUAUUUCUCGUGUUGAACAUGAUAUCUCACUCGUUCGCUGCGCUCACUCGUGAGAUAUCAUGUUCAACACUCGAAAUAAAUCCGGUAUUUCCGCGCAUCCAUGUAUUAUUCUCUAUAUCAUUAAUAUUUUGUAAGUCACAUCUACAGGCAUUGAUUUUUAAAUAUCCACACCACCCAUCCUCACAAUCAGAUUCUGAUGACAUAGAGUCAGACUGAGAAGAUGAUGUUUCCAAUUGUUUUUUUAACAAAAAAAUCAAGUGUACAUUGUUUUUUCCCCACAACUGUUGUUUUUCACUUUCUUUUGACUUGUUACUUGUUUUUUCUUCUUCAAUGAAGUUACAAUUUCAUUUACUUGUUCUACAGCAUCAUCUUCAAAAUAAUUCUUGGCAAUUAAAGUUUUUAAUGCUGUCAUAUGGUACCUUGGUUUAAGUUGUUUAAUAGGCUCAAGCACACACAUCUACUUGAGAUUUUUUCAGCACCAUUCUCCAGAGACUCGUACUUGAUUCUGCCACUUGUAAUAAUCUUUGUGACAUCACACGCUCUUGCGUUUUCUCUUGCAUUAUUUCUCUCAGACUCUCAUCUCUGCAUCACUUUUGGAGGAAAUUUUCCGAUCCUACAG